GAAAAAUUCAAAAUAGAAACGUUUCCUCCGACUCGACGUCGAUGAAAGCGGCGAUGUUUGGAAAGCGCUUUUCGACGCUUGACUGUUAAUUAGAGAAGAUGGAGCCACUUGACACUGCCAAGAAUGAGAUGAGGAAAAACACAGGAGACGAAGGCGAGUUUGAACUUUAUUCCUCAGCUCCAAAAACCAAACUGAAACAGGAACAACCUUGCACCAGAGAGCCCGGGAACGUAA